UCUGGGAGUGCUGGGGGGGAAGGGGUUCAUUACCUCCCUGGUGGUCCAGUGGCUGCUGGGCGGCCGGCGAGGGAGCUCUUCCUAUGAGCGGUCUGCUCAGCUCCCUCGCGCGCCGCAAAGUGAGGCUGGGAGCCGGAAUAUGACGUCAUAUUCCGGCUCCCGCGGUAUCAGCAGACAGCGCGCGAGGGAGCAGAGCGUGGAAAUUAGAGCUCCCUCGCCGCGUCUGAUCACAGCACAGCCGCGCGCCGCGCCGGGGAUCCAAAAGGUGGCCUGGCAGGAGGUCACUGAAAUAUUGCGCCCCCAGAGCCGGUGCGCCCUAAGGCGGCCGCCUGUGCCGCCUUAUGGACGCGCCGGCCCUGG